rnacentral:rRNA from 8 species
GGUUAAGCGACUAAGCGUACACGGUGGAUGCCUAGGCAGUCAGAGGCGAUGAAGGGCGUGCUAAUCUGCGAAAAGCGUCGGUAAGCUGAUAUGAAGCGUUAUAACCGACGAUACCCGAAUGGGGAAACCCAGUGCAAUACGUUGCACUAUCGUUAGAUGAAUACAUAGUCUAACGAGGCGAACCGGGGGAACUGAAACAUCUAAGUACCCCGAGGAAAAGAAAUCAACCGAGAUUCCCCCAGUAGCGGCGAGCGAACGGGGAGGAGCCCAGAGUCUGAAUCAGUUUGUGUGUUAGUGGAAGCGUCUGGAAAGUCGCACGGUACAGGGUGAUAGUCCCGUACACCAAAAUGCACAGGCUGUGAACUCGAUGAGUAGGGCGGGACACGUGACAUCCUGUCUGAAUAUGGGGGGACCAUCCUCCAAGGCUAAAUACUCCUGACUGACCGAUAGUGAACCAGUACCGUGAGGGAAAGGCGAAAAGAACCCCGGCGAGGGGAGUGAAAUAGAACCUGAAACCGUGUACGUACAAGCAGUGGGAGCACCUUCGUGGUGUGACUGCGUACCUUUUGUAUAAUGGGUCAGCGACUUAUAUUUUGUAGCAAGGUUAACCGAAUAGGGGAGCCGUAGGGAAACCGAGUCUUAACUGGGCGUCUAGUUGCAAGGUAUAGACCCGAAACCCGGUGAUCUAGCCAUGGGCAGGUUGAAGGUUGGGUAACACUAACUGGAGGACCGAACCGACUAAUGUUGAAAAAUUAGCGGAUGACUUGUGGCUGGGGGUGAAAGGCCAAUCAAACCGGGAGAUAGCUGGUUCUCCCCGAAAGCUAUUUAGGUAGCGCCUCGUGAACUCAUCUUCGGGGGUAGAGCACUGUUUCGGCUAGGGGGCCAUCCCGGCUUACCAAACCGAUGCAAACUCCGAAUACCGAAGAAUGUUAUCACGGGAGACACACGGCGGGUGCUAACGUCCGUCGUGAAGAGGGAAACAACCCAGACCGCCAGCUAAGGUCCCAAAGUCAUGGUUAAGUGGGAAACGAUGUGGGAAGGCACAGACAGCCAGGAUGUUGGCUUAGAAGCAGCCAUCAUUUAAAGAAAGCGUAAUAGCUCACUGGUCGAGUCGGCCUGCGCGGAAGAUGUAACGGGGCUAAACCAUGCACCGAAGCUGCGGCAGCGACACUUAGGUGUUGUUGGGUAGGGGAGCGUUCUGUAAGCCGUUGAAGGUGACCUGUGAGGGUUGCUGGAGGUAUCAGAAGUGCGAAUGCUGACAUAAGUAACGAUAAUGCGGGUGAAAAACCCGCACGCCGGAAGACCAAGGGUUCCUGUCCAACGUUAAUCGGGGCAGGGUGAGUCGACCCCUAAGGCGAGGCUGAAAAGCGUAGUCGAUGGGAAACAGGUUAAUAUUCCUGUACUUGGUGUUACUGCGAAGGGGGGACGGAGAAGGCUAGGCUGGCCGGGCGACGGUUGUCCCGGUUUAAGCGUGUAGGGGGAGUGACCAGGUAAAUCCGGUUGCUUAUCAACCCUGAGGCGUGAUGACGAUGCACCACGGUGCAGAAGCAGUUGAUGCCAUGCUUCCAGGAAAAGCCUCUAAGCAUCAGGUAACAUUAAAUCGUACCCCAAACCGACACAGGUGGUCAGGUAGAGAAUACUCAGGCGCUUGAGAGAACUCGGGUGAAGGAACUAGGCAAAAUGGUGCCGUAACUUCGGGAGAAGGCACGCUGGCGUUAGGUGAAAGGACUAGCUCCUGGAGCUGAAGCCAGUCGCAGAUACCAGCUGGCUGCAACUGUUUAAUAAAAACACAGCACUGUGCAAACACGAAAGUGGACGUAUACAGUGUGACGCCUGCCCGGUGCUGGAAGGUUAAUUGAUGGGGUCAGCCGCAAGGCGAAGCUCUUGAUCGAAGCCCCAGUAAACGGCGGCCGUAACUAUAACGGUCCUAAGGUAGCGAAAUUCCUUGUCGGGUAAGUUCCGACCUGCACGAAUGGCGUAAUGAUGGCCAGGCUGUCUCCACCCGAGACUCAGUGAAAUUGAACUCGCUGUGAAGAUGCAGUGUACCCGCGGCAAGACGGAAAGACCCCGUGAACCUUUACUAUAGCUUGACACUGAACAUUGAGCCUUGAUGUGUAGGAUAGGUGGGAGGCCUUGAAGUGUGGACGCCAGUCUGCAUGGAGCCAACCUUGAAAUACCACCCUUUAAUGUUUGAUGUUCUAACUCGGCCCCAUGAUCUGGGGUGAGGACAGUGUCUGGUGGGUAGUUUGACUGGGGCGGUCUCCUCCCAAAGAGUAACGGAGGAGCACGAAGGUUAGCUAAUCACGGUCGGACAUCGUGAGGUUAGUGCAAAGGCAUAAGCUAGCUUGACUGCGAGAGUGACGGCUCGAGCAGGUACGAAAGUAGGUCUUAGUGAUCCGGUGGUUCUGAAUGGAAGGGCCAUCGCUCAACGGAUAAAAGGUACUCCGGGGAUAACAGGCUGAUACCGCCCAAGAGUUCAUAUCGACGGCGGUGUUUGGCACCUCGAUGUCGGCUCAUCACAUCCUGGGGCUGAAGUAGGUCCCAAGGGUAUGGCUGUUCGCCAUUUAAAGUGGUACGCGAGCUGGGUUUAGAACGUCGUGAGACAGUUCGGUCCCUAUCUGCCGUGGGCGUUGGAAGAUUGAGAGGGGCUGCUCCUAGUACGAGAGGACCGGAGUGGACGAAUCACUGGUGUUCGGGUUGUCAUGCCAAUGGCAUUGCCCGGUAGCUAAAUUCGGAAGAGAUAACCGCUGAAAGCAUCUAAGCGGGAAACUUGCCUCGAGAUGAGUCUUCCCUGGGGCUUAAAGCCCCCUGAAGGAACGUUAAAGACUAUGACGUUGAUAGGCUGGGUGUGUAAGUGCAGCGAUGUAUUGAGCUAACCAGUACUAAUGAUCCGUGAGGCUUAACCUU